GACCGCGUAGCUCAGUUGGCGGAGCAUUGGGCUAUUAUUCCAAAGGUCGUAGGUUCGAUUCCCACCGUGGCCG
rnacentral:tRNA from 1 species